rnacentral:lncRNA from 1 species
GGGAAAGCCUUCCCAAGCCACACAGGAGAAAAAUCUCCCAGCUCUCCUUCCCUUCCUCUGUUCUGGACACAGGCUGGUGAUGCUGGAGCCACAACAACCACCGGAAACCCCAAGGCGAAGACCAGAGAAUCCCAGAGAUGCAGACAGAGACUUCCUAGAGCUACAGAGUAAGCCAAAUUGGAGUUGCCUUUUCUGGACGUCUUGUUAAGGACAACCAGAGGCCUAUUUAUCUCAUGAUGGAAGGCAGGAGAACAAGCAGGCAAGACCAGCUGUGCUAGCACAUGCCACCUCUUUGCCCACGUCACACCUGCUGACGUCCCAUUGGCCAAUGCAAGUCACACAACCAAAGCCAACAUCAACAGGACAAGGAAACAGACUCUGCCUCUAGAUGCACAAACUACAGAGUCACGGACAGAGGACACGGAUCCAGGGAAGGAAGAUGGAGAAUGAGAACAAUGACCCUCAAUAACACAGCCUCCCACAGGUUUCCAAAUCCCCAACCCAGGCAUAUAUCCAAGGAAAUGGAAUCAUGGGUUCAGGUUUUAGAGCAAGCAAUUUCUGCUCUCCCUGCCUAGUUUCCACACCCUUAACACAGGGGCAAUGAUGUCACAUCAAAACAUAUCAUACAAAUUUGUGAUGAUGUUUCAACAACUAAACACCAGAAAAAUGCUUAGGGCAGGGCCGGGUAGGAGGGGCAGAAGCCAAUAGUAACUUAACAUCACUGCUAACCCACAAAGUUCUGGGAAUUUCUUUGAAUGUCUAAUUAGAGAACCAUGUCCCCAAGAAUUAACAUUUCUUUUGCUUUUUUUUGAAUCUGAGAAAAUACUAAUUGUCACAGGGUAGAAUAUUUAUCUGAUGAGCAUAUAGAAGUUAAGGGCUCCUUGAAAUCACAGUGCUAGGUUUGGGUCUCAUUCCUCCUCCUACCUGCCUCUCUGAGCCUCAGUUUCUCAUCUGUAGAAUGGGUACAAUCCCAACCUCAUGUGUUUGUGGCAGUCAGGGUUAAUUGGGCUAAUGAUUCUAAAGUGCUCUGCGCAGGCCUGGCAGGUACUGAGCAACCUUGGGCCAUAGAGAGAGCACUGACUUGGGAGUCAGGAGCUGGGACCUCAGGUCCUAUUCCCUGGGGAUCCGGGAAAAGUCCCUUGGCUUCCCUGAGCUUCAUCUGCCCCACGUGCUAGUGAGGUGGCUAGACCAGUCAGGCCAAGGACGUCCCUGCAGCUAUCUAACUUCUCCUUACUCCCUGUUCAGCAAAGGGCAGGAGCUGGGCCUGGCCAGGCUCCCACAAAGCCCAGGCGUGGCCGUGCUCAGCUCACGACGGGUGUGGGGGAUGCGUUUCUGCCCUCAAAGGACUGAGCUCCAGUUUCUUUCUUCACUGAGUCCUUUACUCUCUGCCUGCGGGUGGUUAUUUAAGACAUCUCCUGCCUGCAGGGGCCUCUUAGAGAACAAACAGAUCGUUCCUUCAGCUGCAGUGCAGGCUUUACUGGGCUUGUUCCUGCAUCAAGUAGACAGAUCCUUCCUGAAUGGAGUCGCCCCACAGGCCCCACACUCGGAGAGGGGCAGCCAGGAGCCUCCGAGGCUCUGCCCAGCCCGUCCUGAAUGUGCUCCCUGCCCUGAGUGGAGCGCUCACAGCUCCCCGCAUCAAGGUUUCUGUCUCCCCAAGGAUCUUCCUCAUAAAAACCCUUCUUCUCCCAGAUCCCACAAACCGACAUUAUAAAAAACACAAACACCCAAUAAGCACCAUGUAAAUUGAUCACAUACAAAUAAUAUCCAAAAAUAAGAACUCGUAUAACCACUUUAAACUAUAGAACAUGUCUGUUGGGAUUUGUGGGAGAUCAUGGAUCACAGGUUCCCCCUGCUCCUGGUUCAGCACUGUGAGAAAUGGAAGUGAGGUUCACCCAGGGACGGGAAAGCGUCAGCUGCCACUCAUGAGGCUGGGGGGCAGGGGAAGCCCUUCAUCCGUGGACACAAACAGGCAUCCUAACAUGACUUCCAUGAGCAGAAGUGGGCAGACAGGGCUGAAAAGCUGACCUUACAAGGCUGAGGACCUGCCUUGAGCUCUGCCUGACUGCAGAGAAGGAAAGUUCUCUUCUUGCAACCUCAAAUCUUCCAGAUAAGAACCAAACGACAUCCGGCCUUUGCGUUCUCUCCACCAGCUCCCGGCUCACCCACCCAGCAGCUCAGCACCUGCGAAAUCCGUCUCCCGAUGCACACUUGC